UGGGGAAUAUUGCACAAUGGGCGAAAGCCUGAUGCAGCGACGCCGCGUGAGGGAUGACGGCCUUCGGGUUGUAAACCUCUUUCAGCAGGGACGAAGCGCAAGUGACGGUACCUGCAGAAGAAGCACCGGCUAACUACGUGCCAGCAGCCGCGGUAAUACGUAGGGUGCAAGCGUUGUCCGGAAUUACUGGGCGUAAAGAGUUCGUAGGCGGUUUGUCGCGUCGUUUGUGAAAACCAGCAGCUCAACUGCUGGCUUGCAGGCGAUACGGGCAGACUAGAGUACUGCAGGGGAGACUGGAAUUCCUGGUGUAGCGGAGAAAUGCGCAGAUAUCAGGAGGAACACCGGUGGCGAAGGCGGGUCUCUGGGCAGUAACUGACGCUGAGGAACGAAAGCGUGGGUAGCGAACAGG
rnacentral:rRNA from 1 species